rnacentral:rRNA from 1 species
UACGAAGGGGGCUAGCGUUGUUCGGAAUUACUGGGCGUAAAGCGUGCGCAGGCGGCUUCUCAAGUCAGGGGUGAAAGCCAGAGCUCAACUCUGGAAUUGCCUUUGAGACUGAGUGGCUUGAGUACGAGAGAGGUGAGUGGAAUUCCCAGUGUAGAGGUGAAAUUCGUAGAUAUUGGGAAGAACACCGGUGGCGAAGGCGGCUCACUGGCUUGUAACUGACGCUCAUGCACGACAGCCGUGGGGAUCAAACAGG